rnacentral:rRNA from 1 species
UACAGAGGUCUCAAGCGUUGUUCGGAUUCAUUGGGCGUAAAGGGUGCGUAGGCGGCCCGGUAAGUCCGUUGUAAAAGUCGAAGGCUCAACCUUCGAAAGCCGAUGGAUACUGCCGGGCUAGAGUUCGGAAGAGGCGAGUGGAAUUCCUGGUGUAGCGGUGGAAUGCGCAGAUAUCAGGAGGAACACCAGUGGCGAAGGCGGUUGCCUGGAGCUUUGCUGACGCUGAUGCGCGAAAGCGUGGGGAGCGAUCCGG